rnacentral:rRNA from 1 species
CCCUUAGAUGUUCUGGGCCGCACGCGCGCUACACUGAUGCCUUCAACGAGCCUAUCCUUGACCGACAGGUCCGGGUAAUCUUUGAAUCUGCAUCGUGACGGGGAUAGAUUAUUGCAAUUAUUAAUCUUCAACGAGGAAUGCCUAGUAGGCGCAAGUCAUCAGCUUGCGUCGAUUACGUCCCUGCCCUUUGUACACACCGCCCGUCGCUCCUACCGAUUGGGUGUGCUGGUGAAAUGUUCGGAUCGGCCGUUUGUCGCGGUUUCCGCGUCAUGUGGCUGAGAAGUUCAUUAAACCCUCCCACCUAGAGGAAGGAGAAGUCGUAACA